UCUACAGCUUCCUCCUAUAGAAAGCUGCAACAAUCUGAAAUGUCAAGCUCUCUAUCUUACAUUUGAGGAGGAAUCCACUGACAGGUUGAAACUGUCUCUAACUGGUGAAAAACUCUAGAGUAAGAGCUUGUUUAUUUACAAGAAUUCAAACAGGAAGAUGUCUGAAUUAUAAUGCAACUCUUAAAAACCAGUGAGGUCAGUGGGGCCCUGUGGAAUCCAUGGAAAACCUCCCUAAGUGAAAGAGAUAUCUGCAUUUUUUUGGGUCAAAGAAAGAUUUACUUUGACAAAGUCAUGAAAUUUUAGGGUGAUCCCUUUGCCUAAGCACUAAUAGAUCUCUAGUAUGUAAACCAGCUAUUUCCUUCUUAGCCAUACUGUUAAACACUCGUUAUAAUACCGGAAUAAUUGACUUGUACCAACCUGUCCUGCUCUGUGAAGUCAUAGUCCCCAGUUGGUAUCAUCAUGCAGCUGCCAUAGAAACACUUUUAGGUGUCUCAGGCUCAUUUUGAAUUCACCAGAGACAUUUGGCUCAUUAAUUCAAAUGUCAAGGAAAAUGCAUCGACUGCCAGGAGUCGGUCACUACCAGGCACCAAAAAUAAUGGAAGAGAGGUUUGGUUCUGAUCUAUAAAGUUCCUUCACAAGUUCCAUUGGCAAGGUAAAAAAGAAGGAGGAAUCACUAAAAAGCAAAGAUUGCCAGGUCAGAUGCCAGGCAAAUUCCCUUCAUCAAGCUGGGCUCAGCACCUUCAUUUCAGAAGGCUGAAAGGGCUGGAGGAGGAAGAUCUAUGCUGUGUUUGUCUUCAGUUCUCCAAGUAAUUUAUGCCAGCUGACAAUGCUCAUUUUUAAUGCUGCACAGGUGAUGUGUGUCCUCUGUUGAUGAAGCCACAUGUUACCUUGAUAAAGAAACUUCUAAAAGUGAAUUUGCAGCACCCUCAAGACAGUAUUGUUGAGAGCCACCCUGUGAAAUUUUGUGAUGCUGGCAGCUGCUGCACCAGCCAGCCCAGCAAGAACCCUGAUUAUGAAGAAUGUGAGCUGGGGCAACCCAGAAAGAAGGGGCCUCUUCACCAGGCUGCCAAAAGUGGUGCUGUUGUGGCAAAUGCCAGCCAACACAGAAGUACCAUGAACAGCUCUUGCUGAAGGAAAAAAGGGCAGCACAUCACAACCUCCCGCUGGUUUCAGCAGCUGGUGCUGUCUGGUUGCACCCUGAAGAAAGCCAAGAGUUGCCUCAAAGCACAACCCUGAAGGAAGGAAGCCCAAAAGAGGAAUCACUUGGAAAUGUGGUGCUGAGCAUUUUUCUGCCCCACCCUCCCCAGCUUUCUGCAGCCCUGGAUCAAGAGGUUCUAGACAGAGGCCACAGAACAAGUUUCCUAACUCGUCACUGAAGGCCUCAUGGUCUGACCAGAUUAAACACACUCAUUUUAGAUGGUUCCAGUGACACAGACAAAGCAUCUUCUGAAAAGCCUAGCUCUUCUCUUUUUAUUGUUCUUUUUAGCUUGAACUCAGGAAUUACAUGAAGAGUUCUUUUACCCUCUUUGUGUAAUAUUUUUGGGCAUUUCAUUCACACUCAUUGGAAUUGUACUGUUGGACUGUUUGUUCUUACCUUCAAGCAGGCCUUGCUUCCUACACCUCCUCCUCCUGAACUUGUGAGAGUAGCUCUGUGCUAUGAUGUGUGAGGUCAGAGUACAGCCAAGGAGCAGCGAACUCAGGGUAGAUUAAUCUGUGCUCCAACACUUUUUCCAUUCUCUAUUUUUGUUGUAUUUAGGCAUGUUCUAUUUUUGUAGAACCAGGGUGAAAAGGACUGUAACAGGUAUGUUCUGCACUCCUUUCAACAAAGCUUUGUUCUCUCUGAGCUAACCCAGCAGUUUGCCGUUUCCAUUUCCCACAUGUAUUUGAAGAUAUAUUGCUGGCAGAUUAUGCCAGCUGUAUUUAUAUCUUCAUCAAUUGUGUUAACAUUCAUAUUGCAGCAUCUUACAUAUCUAGAGUGGGAAAAUAUUACUGUAGGCAUUAAUGCAUUUCUGUACUAGCAUAUGAACCAAUUCUCCUUUUGAAAAUAAUUACACUGAAUAUUCACCCAAGACUGUGAUUUUGAUCUCUUCUCAAAUUUACAUCAAAGUUCUUCCUUAUCCUUUCCCCGCUUUUUUUGGUCCUUUCGGUU